AAACAUCCCUGCAAAAUUUUUUGUCUUUUAAAAUAGUCCUUGGAUCCACUUUAUUGCUGAUUUGGCACAUUUUAGUCUACAUAGCAGUUGCUGACCAUGCAAUCAUGCACACGUGGCAAUUCACUUAUUUAAAAAUCAUUUUUAAAAAUUAGAUAAUAUAUUUUUGAAUUGAAAAAAAAUAUUUUUACUUGAUUAAAAAAUAAAUAAAACUGCAGAAAAGGGGGAAAAUAAAUUGUUCAUCUUCUUAACGUGUUCUUCAUCCCUCCUAACCCCAAACCUUGUUCUUCUUCCCAUAACCAAACCACCAUCAUCUUCUUCCUGUAACAACAAAAAUUAAAAAACUAGGAAGAAUAAUCAAAAUAUUCAUCUUCAACAAUCCAAAAUUCAUCAUUCUUUCAUUCAUUAAACCUAUAUUUCUCUCAAAUUUAAAUCCAAUUCAUCUUCUUACAAAUUCAAACCUAUAACAAAAUCAGAAGCAGCAAGGGAAAGGGAAAAACAGAAUUGCAAACUAGCAAGUUGAUACAACAAAAUGAAGUCGCUGCAUAUUGUAACAAGCGCAGCAGCAAGGGACUAUGUAGGAAAAAAAUACAGCAAAAUGGAAGAAAUCAGCGCUGUAACAACAUAAAUCCCCACAUUACAAAAACUUUCAUCAACAGCUGAAGGGCCGAACAACACAAACCCCAUAGCAGAUUCAAAAACAACGUCACAAACCCAGUUAUCAAGUCAUCGCCAUCGACCUCGUCGCGCUACGAUGUGCACCACCGUCAUCACCGCCGGCGUCCCGUUCACCAACCACCAAAUCUGCCAUCGCCGGCAACAGCCACAACGUGGCUGUUCUCACGUGACUCUCUUCCAUCACCAUGCCAUCACCGUCAUUCACCGCCGUGUUGAUGAAGAAGAAGAAAAACAGAAU
rnacentral:lncRNA from 1 species